AGGUGCAUUUUGACUAGUUCAAUUUUGUUCUGGGACACAUGUGCAGAACAUGCAGGUUUGUUACAAUUUGCCUUAUUGUGUGAUUUAGAGCUCAUCUGCAGUAUCUCCAAGAUCCCAGAUGCUGCCACAUUCCUUGCAAUACAGCCCCUUCCACUAUCUUCAAGGUCCUAGCCUGAGUCCUUCCUUGCUCAAUGAGGAGUCUAAAGACCUUUCACGGCUUUGGAGUUAAGAGGGUGAAAGUAGAAUGAGUAAAAGAUGACAAAUUCCUACCUUUGCUUUCCACAUUAACCACUGCUUGAAGAUAUCAACAUGUCGGCCACACUGAAUAGUUUUAUCCGCCGUGUCAAAGUCAACAUUGUAGAGUUUACCUGACUGGAAAAGAUAUUCAGCUUGCAUCUGAUUACAUGCAUCUAGAAGGCCCUAAAAAAGGAAAAACAUAUCUAACAUCCUUUUGUCUCAUAUGAAAAAUGUGGAAAACAUUCCUCCUCAGUGUUAAAGACUUCAAGAAGCUUUCCUUUGGAAGAUUAAGAAAUAAUCACUAGAAAAGGACAUGUUACCCAUCAUUGAGACAGAAAUGUUUUCUCAGUAUGUAUGUUGCUUCAGCACAUCAAAACCUAAAUUUAUGUGCAUUGAUGGGGUAUAAUUUAAAUGUUAAUUAAGCAGAACUAUUUGUACAAGAGGUAAAUAACAUUAUAUGUAUUUAUGUGUUUGCUAUAUGCUUUCCAUUUCACAUUACAUCAUUUGAUCCUCAUGGAAAACUGAUGGUGUAGGUACUAUAAUGACAACAUUUUUAUAGAUUGAAGAAACUGAGAAUAUUAACAUGUUAAGUAAUUUUCAAGAACAUAUAUCUAUACAAUGAUGAAUUUGGGAGCUGAAAAAAGGGCAGUUUGACUUGAGGUUUGUGGAAACACAACAUCCUAAGGAAGAUAACUCACACUCUGUUUCAGGCUAGGCUUGUGGAUCUAUAGGAAGGACCACAAUGUGACGGUCAGUGUUGAAGUAUUUCAGGGAAAUAGAAUAGAAAUUAUAACUCAAAAAUGAAAAUAGUUUAUGAAUCUGUAUUUUGGGUGUCCUAUUUACACAUGUAAAUAUUUUCUUCUUAGGCUCUUUUGAACCCCCUUUUUAAUCUUUUGUUAGAGCAGGCCUAGAGACUAUUGUAAACACUUUAAAACAGUAUCAUCAAGAUGAGUUUCUGCACAGCAAAAGAAACUACCAUCAGAGUCAGCAGGCAACCUACAGAAUGGGAGAAAAUUUUUGCAAUCUACUCAACUGACAAAGGGCUAAUAUCCAGAAUCUACAAUGAACUCAAACAAAUUUACAAGAAAAAAAACAAACAACCCCAUCAAAAAGUGGGCGAAGGAUAUGAACAAACACUUCUCAAAAGAAGACAUGUAUGCAGCCAAAAGACACAUGAAAAAAUGCUCAUCAUCACAGGUCAUCAGAGAAAUGCAAAUCAAAACCACAAUGAGAUACCAUCUCACACCAGUUAGAAUGGCGAUCAUUAAAAAGUCAAGAAACAACCGGUGCUGGAGAGGAUGUGGAGAAAUAGGAACAUUUUUACACUGUUGGUGGGACUGUAAACUAGUUCAAUCAUUGUGGAAGUCAGUGUGGCGAUUCCUCAGGGAUCUAGAACUAGAAAUACCAUUUGACCCAGCCAUCCCAUUACUGGGUAUAUACCCAAAGGAUUAUAAAUCAUGC
rnacentral:lncRNA from 1 species